CCCAGACUCCUACGGGAGGCAGCAGUGGGGGAUAUUGCACAAUGGGGGAAACCCUGAUGCAGCGACGCCGCGUGGGCGAAGAAGUAUUUCGGUAUGUAAAGCCCUAUCAGCAGGGAAGAAGAAAUGACGGUACCUGAGUAAGAAGCACCGGCUAAAUACGUGCCAGCAGCCGCGGUAAUACGUAUGGUGCAAGCGUUAUCCGGAUUUACUGGGUGUAAAGGGGGCGCAGACGGCGAUGCAAGCCAGGAGUGAAAGCCCGGGGCCCAACCCCGGGACUGCUCUUGGAACUGCGUGGCUGGAGUGCAGGAGGGGCAGGCGGAAUUCCUGGUGUAGCGGUGAAAUGCGUAGAUAUCAGGAGGAACACCGGUGGCGAAGGCGGCCUGCUGGACUGCAACUGACGUUGAGGCCCGAAAGCGUGGGGAGCAAACAGGAUUAGAUACCCCAGUA
rnacentral:rRNA from 1 species